AAAAAAUUAGCCAAGUACAGUGGCUCAUACCUGUAGUUCUAGCUGCUUGGGAGGAUCACUUGAGCCCAGGAGUUUGAGGCCACAAUAACCUCCCUGGGAUGCCAGUACUAUUUCCAGAUAUGUCAUUUGAUUAACAGUAUCUCAUUAUAUUGACUUGUAAUUGACUUCUUUGUAACUCCACACAUAUGUCCUAAUCCUUCCCUGUGCAACAACUCAGAAUAAAUAUUAUUCCGAGGAUAGGAUGUGCAAAUGUGUGAAAACUAUUUUCUUGCUUCCUGUAAGUAAUUUUUUUCAGGCUGAGUAUUUCCAGUUACUUCAGCCUUUGCUUAUCUUGAAAAGCAAGCUCUAUGAGGGAAGGACCCAUGUCUGAAU
rnacentral:lncRNA from 10 species